GGGUAGUUAGCUCAGUGGGAGAGCGUUUGCUUCACAUGCAAAUGGUCGCAGGUUCGACUCCUGUACUACCCA
rnacentral:tRNA from 1 species